rnacentral:rRNA from 1 species
AUUGAACGCUGGCGAAAUGCUUUACACAUGCAAGUCGAACGGCAGCACGGGGGCAACCCUGGUGGCGAGUGGCGAACGGGUGAGUAAUACAUCGGAACGUGCCCAGUCGUGGGGGAUAACGUAGCGAAAGUUACGCUAAUACCGCAUACGAUCUACGGAUGAAAGCGGGGGACCGUAAGGCCUCGCGCGAUUGGAGCGGCCGAUGUCAGAUUAGGUAGUUGGUGAGGUAAAGGCUCACCAAGCCGACGAUCUGUAGCUGGUCUGAGAGGACGACCAGCCACACUGGGGCUGGGACACGGCCCAGACUCCUACGGGAGGCAGCAGUGGGGAAUUUAGGACAAUGGGCGCAAGCCUGAUCCAGCCAUUCCGCGUGCAGGACGAAGGCCUUCGGGUUGUAAACUGCUUUUGUACGGAACGAAAAGGCUCUGGUUAAUACCUGGGGCUCAUGACGGUACCGUAAGAAUAAGCACCGGCUAACUACGUGCCAGCCGCCGCCGUAA